ensembl:lncRNA
CAGGGGGCUUUGGGGAGAAAAAGGAAAAAAAAUAAAAUCUUUAAAAAAAAAAAAAAAAAACACUUGGGGCCGGCCUAGAGGGGCAGUGGUUAAGUUCGCACCCUCCACUUUGGCAGCCCAGGGUUCACCAGUUUGGAUCCCCAGCAGGGACCUACACACCACUCAUCAAGCCAUGCUGUGGUGGCAUCCCACAUAGAAGAAUUAGAAGGACUUACAACUAGCAUAUACUACUAUGUACUGGGGCUUUGGGGAGGUAAAAAAAGAGAAAGAUUGGCAACAGACGUUAGCUCAGGGCCAACCUUCCUUACCAAAAAAAAGCAUACCUUAGAAAACACUUGAUUGUUUAUUUAUUUAUUUUUUAAAAGAACAUACAUACAGGAAGUCCAGCGGUACGGAUCACUCAUCAUAAAGGGCAAUGAGAGUAAGAGGCUCUACAAUAACGAACGCCAGGCUUUAGUGCAAGCCCUAUCAGUGGGCCUCAGGCUGCAUCCCCAGGUGCCCGAAUGGCCCAGGAGGUCUCCAAGCAUAAGCAGUGGAGCGUCAGCUCUUGCAGCUGAAAGAGGCCAAGGGCAGCGCUGUGGCCACAAACUACCUCUGCAGAAAUAUGGAGCCAGCAUACAGUUAUUUGUCAGUCCUCAUGAAAAAAAAAAAACUACCCUCAAAAAGCUUAAAGAAAAAUAUUUCUAACCAAAAUUUUUAAACAUCACGAAAAUGAAAAGUAAGAUAACAGCUAGCAUGAUAAAACAGAGCAGAACAGGGGAAAACAUGCACGGCAAAAAAACAAUUACUAUUUGAAACUACCUUAGCAACUUGAUUUUGCCAUUGCUAGGAACCAAAAAUGGCUAGGUCACUAACCACCGAGGCUACCCAGGCCACAUGGUCACAUCCUUGACUUUCCACCCCUCCCUUAUACGCAAGUAGGGGCAUAUAAGAAUCUUACCAUGCUUACUUUACAUCCAUUGGAUAGAGAAACAAAUGAGAGUGGUAGAUAAAUAGAAAAACUAUUCCUAUACCAGCCUAACAAAAGCUGUACUUUUCCAAAAUUUUCCCUUGUUUUCUUAAGAAACACUUUGUUGACUUCCACUGUCUCUAAUAAUAAUAUAUCCAACAAUACAGAAACUAAAGUUACCCACGCAUCCUGUGCAGAAAACAGUAAACACAGCAGGACUGGAAGUGCUAUCCUUAGAAUGGCCUGCUUGCAAGGUUGGCCCCUGGCUGGUGUCUGGGAACCAGGAUUUCAGGAGGGUGCCCAGCAUUCCCAGAAGUGCUAAGACUGGUUCACCGGGCCAAGACUGUUUGUACAAUGUGGUAUAUGCUAAACACCUGCUUUCCCUCUGGGAGUCCAGGAAUUGGUGCAUGCCAGGUAGAGGGUGUCAUGUGACCAGCCCCCAAUAAAACCUUAGGCACCGAGUUUCUGAGAAGCUUCCCUGGUAGAUAUUUCACAGGCGCAGGCACAACUUGCUGCUGGAGGAGUCAAGCACGCCUACGUGACUACACUGCGAGAGAACUCGUGGAAGCUUACACACGGUUUCUUCUGGACUUCACUUCACGUGCCUAUUCCCUGUGCUGAUUCUGCUGUAUGUCCUCUCUCUGUAAGAAAUCACAGCCUUGAGUGUGACUAUGUCCUGAGUCCUGCGAGUCCUCCUAGUCAACAAACCUGGGCGUGGUCGUGGGACCUCUUCCACAUUCUGUUUAAUAGAUAAAAACCUAACCUCUAUUGUGGUUCCCAGGACACAAUACUUGACUUUAUUUAUGGCCA